AAAUUAAUUGCAAUUAACUCAGAAGUGUAUCUGAGAGUAUGCCUUUAAAAAUGAUUUAAGGGCUCUAAAGAUAGUGGAGGCUGAUCAAUUAUUAUAACGGUGUUGUUAUGUACACCUGCUUUCUACUGAAGGUUUCUAUGAUGCUCAGCUCAGAGGCUGGAGGUCUGAGGCAAUAGAACAAAUCAAAAUGAAGUAUUAUAAGUAUUUAUGCAAAGUUUGUUUUGCAUGAUCUCAAAUGCAUUGGCCAUAUUUCCUUUAUCCAAUGUGUCACCUUUCUGACUUCGCCCAGUUUAAGUGCUCUCCUCUCUACAUUUUCAUCUCUCUCUUCUACUUGUUGCUGGUCAUCAGUGGCUCUAUGACCAUGUCAUUAAGUUUUAUGGGGUGUCUGGGUUCCCUGAAGACUGUCAAAUGCCUGCUGGCAGUUGUGAGUUGUCAGUGAAACAAAACUUUAUUGGAUUUUAUACGUGCUAGUUGUUUUGCACCAGCGUUAUUAUGAGGCUAUUAUUAUAUUAUAUAUAUUUUUUUUAAAUGUUAUGCAUUGGAGGCCAAAACUUUGGAAUACUGUACAGAUUUUGCUGUUUAGGAAGGAAAUUGAUACUUUAGUGGCUUUCAACUUAUCACAAAGUAUAGUCAGGACAUUGCUGAUGUAAAAAACAGCACCAUCACUAUUUGAAAAAAGUAUACCUGCUCAACACCAGUUUCAUGUACAACAGUAAAGAGGGUGCAGGCCUUAUGGAAAGAAUUGCAAAGAAAAAGCCACUUUUGAAACAGAAAAUCAAAAAGAAAAGGUUAGAGUGGGCAAAGAAACAGACAUUGGACAACAGAUAAUUGGAAAAGAGUGUUAUGGAUCUUAACCCCAUUGAGCUUUUGUGGGAUCAGCUAGACUGUAAGGUGCGUGAGAAGUGCCAACAAGACAGCCACAUCUAUGGCAAGUGUUACAGGAAGUGUGGGGUGAAAUGUCACCUGAGUAUCUGGACAAACUGACUCACGUUAUUAAUGUCCUGAUUAUACAUUGCGAUCAGUUGAAUUCCACUUUGGUAAAUAAAAGUACCAAUUUCUUUCCAUAAGAGCAAAAUAUGUACAUUAUUCCAAACUUUUGGCUGCCAGUGUAUAAAUAAUUUAGAGUUUUAUAUAAUUUAAUUUAAUUUAGUUUUCAUUUUACUGUUAGUUUUGUUUUUUCAGUGUUUUCUAUUUUGAGAUAAUUUAAAAUGUUACAUUAUAUGCAUUUGUAAUUCAGUUAUACAUUAAUGAUGAUGUCAUUUAAAGGAAUAAUCCAUGUUCAGUAUAAAUUAACCUCAAUCAAUAGCAUUUGUGACUAAAUCCUGAUUACCACAAAAAAAUAUUUCGACUUGUCCUUCCUUUUAUUAAAAAAAAUAAAUAAAUAAAAACUCAGGUUACAGUGAGGCACUUACAAUGGAAGUGAAUGGGGCCAGUUUUUGCAGGGUUCUAAGGCAGAAAUGUGAAGCCUCUAAUUUUAUAAAAACUUACAUUAUUUAUGUUAAAACAUGUUUUAUUUGAGCUGUAAAGUUGUUUAAAUAAACAUUUUAAGGUAUUUUGGGGGGUUUUAAAGUUUACUGCCUUACAUCAUUAUGGAAACAAAGUUGUAAAAUUAGAUAUAACUUAGCAAAGAAAAGGUUAGAAAGUUAUUUUAUCAUACUAAAACCAUGUUAACACACAUUGUUUAUGUCUUGUUAUCAACACUGUGCCUCAAAUGCUUUCAUUUGACCUAAACGGAAUAUUCCUUUAAAUAUGUUUAACGCCAUUAAAUUUCUAUCUAUCUAGUACUAUAUCAUGAAGACAGGUUGUACAUGUAUCAAAUAUAACAUAUAACAAAUUGUAAUAUUAAUUUGUGGUUAUUUAUUUGAUUUUAGUUUUGAAGUCAUGAAAAUGUAUUUUAGUUCAGUUUCAGAUUCAGUUUAUGUUCGUUUCAGAUAACAAAUAUUAUUUUCAUAUAGUUUUUCUUUUAGAUUUCAUUAAUGAUAAUAAACCCUAAAAACUCCCAAAAUAUUAUGAGUUUGUUUGCAGUUACUAAUACCUCUUGGGAUUUCAUGUUCUUGCUACAGGAACAGCUACACCCAUAUUAUUUAUGAGGCAACAGUGAGUUCAUCUGCUCCAGUGAGCUGUAAAAUGAUGUUAAAAUUAACUUUGUGUAUAUCUGCAGCAUGGGAUUAUGGUUUUUGCGGCUCAGAUAGUGGGUGGGGUUCAUCUCUACACACAGAAGACUGAGGUAACUCAAGCAUAUUGAUCAGAGCUCACACCCAGCUUUGGUGUUGGCCUUUUAGUAAACAUCCAUCAUAUGACUAUAGAUCUUCAUUAAUCCUCUCUAAUGGCAAGCAGUUGCUUUAAUAGCUUUCAGUUGGUAAACUGUCAUAUGGCUAUGAAGCCAACCAGAUUACAUGUAAACAUGAGCACAAUAUAUUUGACUUGUUUUGUUCAUUCCUUUUAAUCAGUUGGAUGGUUCAAUAAGGCAGCAUUCUCUUGAACUAAUAAGUCAUUUGGAAGGAAUUAUUCCAGUCUUCAGAGUUUUGAGCAGACUCUUGAGUACAUUCAGUGGGAGAUGAGAGACAUGGCAUAGUACACAGCAGUACAUGUUAAAAUAAGUGUGUAAAUUUUUAUAUGAUGCAACCUUGAAAGCUGUUUCUUUAACUAUUUGCUCACAUCCAGCAUUAUAUUUCUGCAGAAGAAAUGCUGUGGCUGGGAUGGUAAAGAAGACUGGGGACCUAUUACCCUACUCUUGCUACUAUAAAGUCAAUGCCACUGUAAAUGCAACAUCUGAAGACCAGGCUUCAGAGAUAUGCCCCACAUCUUUCAAACCACACAUGCAGCAUUUAUAAGCAGGAACAGCUUCAUGGACACUGUGUCCGGCCUGCAAUUUGUAAAUGGUGUUUCAAAAUAACUUGUAAACUUUGACCUCUUCUUUCUCUAACAAAGUGAUGCAGUGAGGGAAUACAAAAAUGGCUGGAUGAAAAACUUUUCAAAAUGUCCCAUUUUGGUGGACAUUUUGGCCAUUGCUGUGAAGGUAAGAAAGCAAGGUUGUCACUAAACACAUUAGACCCCAUUUGCGAUAUCUUAAAUGACUUAAAUAUUGAUCUGUUUCUCAUGUUUCUGUGACUAGAAAUGUCCUUGGGUUUAUAGGGUUUGAUUUAGCCAUUGGGUAAGAAACUGGGUGCAUCAGGGUGGGACAGUGUUAUGUUUCACCAUUGUUGUUCACACAAAGCAUAUGACCUUUGUGAUAUUGUGGCAAAGAGUGAGAUGGUGCUCUUAUAACCAUGUCUGUAAAAUAUCUUAAAAAUAUAAAUUUAUCUUAAACAUAUGAUUUUUGCUUAAAGUGACUGGCUAAAAUGUAGUAAUUGGCUAAACCAUAUCAUUUGCAUAUACUGGUAUUUCAAAGUGGUUCGAAAAGCAGACAGUCCAUAUCAAAUACUAAAACAGAAAAAACCUACAAUGUUAUGCAUACAAUUGUAUUAUUCUGUUCGUACUGGAAAUAAAAAGAAAUGAUAUUUUAAUGUUUUUUUUUUUUAUGACAGUAUAUUUAUAUAAACCAAGGAUUGAACGUUUUGGGGAUUAUCACAGAGGAUACGUGAUAUACCUGAGCAAGUUUUUUAUUGUCAGGGCAGGGAGGAGGACACUUGUUAUCAGGUGUUGUGUAUAAAUAUGACCUGUUGAUCUCCUAGAUUCAUUUUAGGAUAACACUACAGUCUAAGAAGGUAAGAGAGAUGUUAUCAUGUCAGACCAUUUGUUAUGCUGUAAUUGGAUUUCUAGAUAAUAACUUACAUUAAUAAUCUAGAUAUAACUGUAAUAAGUUAGAUAAUAACUCAUAAAUAAAUCUAUCUAUAUAUCUAAACUUUUAUAUUCACUGUAAUGCCACUUUGGUUUUCAGUCUGCAUUUAAUGACUUGCUGUUAUUCAUUUCUAUAAGCUUGAUAUAAAACUAAAAGAUGGGAUCCCGCACAUUGGUUCUGGUUGUGUUUUUAGGUGUGCUCUGUGGUGAGUGGAAGACAAUUUCCUCUUUUAAUAAAAUAAGUUAUCUGCAAUACUAUAACAGUAAACUAGCUACGCUUUUUAUAGAAAAUAUAAAGUAUCUUGGUCUGAAUCAUAGCAGAAAAUACAGACAAUCACUAUAUCUUUAAGCUCAGAAGCCUUUAAUAUAAGUUUUCUAUGUUUCUCUUUAAAUUUGCCAAUCUAUAUUACAACAGAAAGUACAGCUUUUUGAAAUUGUGCAUGUCGGCGCUCUCUAGUUGUGCAGGCACUGAAGUGUAACUACUGCCAGAAGAUUGACAAAGAUAACCCCACCUGUGGCCAACUAGAGGAGAGAGAAUGCAGCUCUGGCCUCAAUAACUGCAUUAAGAUCACAAUGCACAAGCCAGCCUAUGGUGAGGUGCGCAGAUGUGCCAGUGAUAAGGAGUGCGACACUGUGUUGCCUGAACAGGUGGAGAAACACUGCUGCAGCACAGACCUCUGCAACUAAUCUGCUCCAUCAGCCACAUUUAUUUAACUCACAAAAUAUUUGGUAAUUAAUAAAUGCUCAAAACAUACCAUUAUCCAAAUGUUUUAUUAUAUGUAAUAUUAAGAGAGAGAGAGAGAUUAUGAAGAAAUAAAGUCUGACCAGCAAAAGAAAGUUGUAUAAAUGGUACUUUGUAGUAUAUAAAACAUUUUAAUCAUCAAUAUAUCCAUACAGUAUGAAGACAUAAUGUCAUUUUCACUACACCGAGGUUUGAAAAGAACAACAGUUGAACACUGCAAUAACACAGCAUUGUCAGCUUUCACACAAAGUGAUAUGGACACACACAAAACAACUUGCCCACACAAAAAUGCCAGACUCAAAAACACCAUGAAUACAUAGUCAAAAAUAGGAUUAAUUACUUCUCUCAUCUACUUAACACAUCAAACACAUUUUUGUUCAUGGUUUAUUGCAAAGUAAAAUUCCAAAUGACACAGAAUCAUUUUAAUAAAAAAAUAAAAAAUAAUUCAGACAUCAUUAUAGCACUGUCAAAGUGUGUAUUAAUACAGGCUUUGAUGCAGAUGGUUAUGGUGCCAUUACAGUGGAAGUCUUCAU